GAUGAACGCUGGCGGCGUGCCUAAUACAUGCAAGUCGAGCGAACAGAUGAGGAGCUUGCUCCUCUGACGUUAGCGGCGGACGGGAGAGUAACACGUGGAUAACCUACCUAUAAGACUGGGAUAACUUCGGGAAACCGGAGCUAAUAACGGAUAAUAUAUUGAACCGCAUGGUUCAAUAGUGAAAGACGGUUUUGCUGUCACUUAUAGAUGGAUCCGCGCCGCAUUAGCUAGUUGGUAAGGUAACGGCUUACCAAGGCAACGAUGCGUAGCCGACCUGAGAGGGUGAUCGGCCACACUGGAACUGAGACACGGUCCAGACUCCUACGGGAGGCAGCAGUAGGGAAUCUUCCGCGAUGGGCGAAAGCCUGACGGAGCAACGCCGCGGGAGUGAUGAAGGUCUUCGGAUCGUAAAACGCUGUUAUUAGGGAAGAACAAAUGUGUAAGUAACUAUGCACGUCUUGACGGUACCUAAUCAGAAAGCCACGGCUAACUACGUG
rnacentral:rRNA from 1 species